AAACGUAGGAGGCGAGCGUUAUCCGGAUUUACUGGGUGUAAAGCGCGUGCAGGCGGUUGGAUAAGUUGGGUGUGAAAGCUCCUGGCUCAACUGGGAGAGGUUGCUCAAGACUGUUCGACUAGAGCGUGGUAGGGGAAGGCGGAAUUCCGGGUGUAGUGGUGAAAUGCGUAGAUAUCCGGAGGAACACCAGUGGCGAAAGCGGCCUUCUAGACCAUGACUGACGCUCAGACGCGAAAGCUAGGGGAGCAAACGGGAUUAGAGACCCCGGUAGUCCUAGCCGUAAACGAUGUGAACUUGGCGGCGGGUGGGUAAAACUACUCGGUGCCGAAGCAAACGCGAUAAGUUCACCACCUGGGGACUACGGCCGCAAGGUUAAA
rnacentral:rRNA from 1 species